GACGUUACCUACAGAAGAAGCACCGGCUAACUCCGUGCCAGCAGCCGCGGUAAUACGGAGGGUGCGAGCGUUAAUCGGAAUUACUGGGCGUAAAGCGCAUGCAGGCGGCCUGUUAAGUCAGAUGUGAAAGCCCGGGGCUUAACCUCGGAAUUGCAUUUUGAAACUGGCAGGCUAGAGUCUUGUAGAGGGGGUAGAAUUUCAGGUGUAGCGGUGAAAUGCGUAGAGAUCUGAAGGAAUACCAGUGGCGAAGGCGGCCCCCCUGGACAAAGACUGACGCUCAGAUGCGAAAGCGUGGGGAGCAAACAGGAUUAGAUACCCUGGUAG
rnacentral:rRNA from 1 species